rnacentral:rRNA from 1 species
UACAGAGGUGGCAAGCGUUGUUCGGAAUUACUGGGCGUAAAGGGCGCGUAGGCGGCCCGUCAAGUCCCGUGUGAAAUCCCUCGGCCCAACCGAGGAACUGCGCCCGAGACUGCUUCUCUUGAGUCCCGGAGAGGAAGGUGGAAUUCCCGGUGUAGCGGUGAAAUGUGUAGAGAUCGGGAGGAACACCGGUGGCGAAGGCGGCCUUCUGGACGGUGACUGACGCUGAGGCGCGAAAGCGUGGGGAGCAAGCGGG